UAUUGACUGACUACGCAAAAUUGUAAUAUAUUAUGUAAAUAUACAAUAUUAGUAACUUUAUUUGACACUAGGAGCGCUUUUACCCCUAGUUGUACUUUACGGCGGCCUAUUAGAACGGGGGAGUGGCGGUGUCGAAACAUUUGAGGACUGUUCCUCUACUACCCCCCAACCAUGUCGAUACCAGUCCAUACUAUCUUAGUCCGUGGUAAUAGUGUAAUAUCAAUUAACGAAGUACGUGCUUUCUUUAUACGAACCACGUCUAUUUCGCAGCUCGAACUUUACGCCGACCCAACGUUUUUUUUGUUGUAGCCGUUCAAAACUUUUACCAUACUCAGACAUAUCGCCGAUCCUGUUCCUGCUGUGGCGAAGAUUUUCAAGAAGAAAAUUCGAUGUGUAUCGAUAUAGAAUGGUUACGAACCGACAGGAAUAGUUAAGUAGUACCUACUCUUAUCGAAGUCUGAGUCAGAUAUCUUGAUCGCAUGUCGUCCUAAUACUUUGACCAUAGCUCAUACAAAUCAGUUCAUAAUGCCAGUCACUAACCGGGCGAUCAUCGUUUGCUCAUUCACAGUCGUUAUCAUGGUUGUGAUACCUAUUUAAUUUGUGAUGAUAUGACCAUAGAAUAGAUGAAUAGAAAAAAGAGAUUCUGUGGUGGUAUGUCUGUGUCAUUUAAGUAUUAUUGAGGUUGAGUUUAGAAAUCUGAAAUAGUCGGGCGUUCAUUAUAAUACCGAUCAUGGCCUGACACAGCGUUUAAUAUACCUGACUUGCUGAAAUGUUCAUUGCUCAGGUUGGACAAAUUGGUUGCCCAAAAACAGUUAGAAAGAGAAUUGUAGAAAAACAAGAAAUCGACUUUACAUUCCUAUACUGAUAAUGACAAUGAAGGACAAGAUGUUGAAUAAGAGACAAAUUUAAAAAAACAUACAAUCAAAAGCCAGUAAAAAUGUAAUAGAUAAACAUUAUCGAUCUGCCCUUGAAGAAACUCCAACGUACGCUGGAAGGUUAUCAAAACAAGAAAUAUUUAAAAAUCAUAUGACGACUGUAGUGAACAUUAUUCAACUUCAGAUUCUAUAGAUAAGCGUAAUUAUCAUCGUCUGAGCAGGAGUAGUAACUAGUAACAAAAGUAAUAAAUGGAACCAAAAAAAUUAACGAUAUUAAAAAUAAUAAGAAAAAGUGGUAACCGUGUUCAUCGAUCCAGUAGAACAAUUCCUAUUAGAAAAAAAUAAGAACCUUCAACUCCUAAUGUCAGACUUCGAGAUAUACCAAUUAGGUGAGUUUUUUUCUAACAAUCUUUGAAACUACUAGUGAUGAAGAUGAUCAUAAUAUGUCUUAAUAUAAAUCUACUUGGGACAUGCCCACCCAGAUCAAGUAUUGAUG